rnacentral:tRNA from 1 species
ACUCAUUUAAUAUAUAUAGUAUAUUUAACUUCCAAUUAAAAAGAUCCUUAAUAGAAAAGAGUA